CCUACGGGAGGCAGCAGUGGGGAAUAUUGGACAAUGGGGGCAACCCUGAUCCAGCGACGCCGCGUGUGUGAAGAAGGCCUGCGGGUUGUAAAGCACUUUUAGUGGGGAUGAAAAGCCAAGGGCUAAUACCCUUUGGUCUUGACCUAACCCAAAGAAAAAGCACCGGCUAACUCUGUGCCAGCAGCCGCGGUAAUACAGAGGGUGCAAGCGUUAAUCGGAAUUACUGGGCGUAAAGCGUGCGUAGUCGGCCAUUUAAGUCGGGUGUGAAAUCUCCGGGCUCAACCUGGAAAUUGCAUUCGAUACUGGGUGGCUAGAGUUCGGCAGAGGGAAGUGGAAUUUCCGGUGUAGCGGUGAAAUGCGUAGAUAUCGGAAGGAACAUCAGUGGCGAAAGCGACUUCCUGGACCAGAACUGACGAUCAGGCACGAAAGCGUGGGGAGCA
rnacentral:rRNA from 1 species